GUCCGGAUGGCUCAGUGGUUGACGCGACUGCCUAGUAAGCAGGAGGUCCUGGGUUCGAGUCCCAGUCCAGCACA